rnacentral:rRNA from 1 species
AAGCAAUGCUUAGAUUAGCCAUGCAUGUCUAAGUAUAAACAAAUUCAUACUGUGAAACUGCGAAUGGCUCAUUAAAUCAGUUAUAGUUUAUUUGAUGGUACCUUACUACAUGGAUAACUGUGGUAAUUCUAGAGCUAAUACAUGCUGAAAAGCCCCGACUUCUGGAAGGGGUGUAUUUAUUAGAUAAAAAACCAAUGAGGGCAACCUCUUGCGUUGAUUCAUGAUAACUUCUCGAAUCGCAUGGCCUUGUGCCGGCGAUGCUUCAUUCAAAUAUCUGCCCUAUCAGACUUUCGAUGGUACGGUAGUGGCCUACCAUGGUUUUGACGGGUAACGGGGAAUAAGGGUUCGAUUCCGGAGAGAGGGCCUGAGAAACGGCCCUCAGUCCUAAGGGACGCAGCAGGCGCGCAAAUUAUCCCAUCCCGACACGGGGAGAUAGUGACAAUAAAUAACAAUAUAGGGCUCUUUUGGGUCUUAUAAUUGGAAUGAGUACAAUUUAAAUCCCUUAACGAGGAUCAAUUGGAGGGCAAGUCUGGUGAACGUAAGAUUCCUUUACCGGCUUCUGACGCCAGAGAUAGUAGGCAGCUUCCGGCUGUAACCCUACUAGUCGAGUUCACACAACAGUGUUGGGUGUGGACCGGCGAGGUAACCUGGUACGGGGAAACCUAACGCUUCUUAGGAAGUUAUGGUAAUCCCGUGGCGAGCCGAGUUGCAGCGAUGUAACUCAUUAGGCCGUCGUAACGCGCGCUAAGGUACCGGUCAAGUCUACGACUUGGCUCAAGGGACGUGCUAUUCCCACCGGAAACGGUGUUCUCUGUUGGAGCUCCCAACAAGUAAAGACAGAGAAAGGACGAUGGUUGUAGAGGAAAUACUACAACAUGUCAAGUCCGGUAUUUGAAAUACAGAAACAAACAUAAAGGCCAGCAGCCGCGGUAAUUCCAGCUCCAAUAGCGUAUAUUAAAGUUGUUGCCGUUAAAAAGCUCGUAGUCGAACUUCGGCCUCUGCCGCCCGGUCCGCCUAUUUGGGUGUGUACUGGAGCGGUGGAGGCUUACCUCGUGGUGAGCGGCGAUGUUCUUUACUGGGCGUCGUCGGGAACCAUGACUUUUACUUUGAAAAAAUUAGAGUGUUCAAAGCAGGCUUACGCCCGAAUACAUUAGCAUGGAAUAAUAAAAUAGGACGUGCGGUCCUAUUUUGUUGGUUUCUAGGAUCGCCGUAAUGAUUAAUAGGGAUAGUUGGGGGCAUUCGUAUUCAAUUGCUAGAGGUGAAAUUCUUGGAUUUAUUGAAGACGAACUACUGCGAAAGCAUUUGCCAAGGAUGUUUUCAUUGAUCAAGAACGAAGGUUAGGGGAUCGAAAACGAUCAGAUACCGUUGUAGUCUUAACAGUAAACGAUGCCGACUAGGGAUCGGACGAGGAUUUUUAAUGACUCGUUCGGCACCUGAAGAGAAAUCUUUAAGUCUAGGUUCGGGGGGGAGUAUGGUCGCAAGGCUGAAACUUAAAGGAAUUGACGGAAGGGCACCACCAUGGUGUAAACAUUGUUUCAACUACAAGCCGUAGUUAACUCUGCACCUAAAAGCGGCCCCUAAUAGGGUUUGGUGGGUCCAAUCAACAACGCUAGUGGCUGUUUACAGCUGCAAGACUUUCGAACUGCGGGAAACUCCUAAAGCCCUCUAACCCCAAGUUACAAUCUGAAAAGAUGUAAUGGCGUGGCUAACUACCACGGUAUGGGAAUAGCGUAGAGGGAUGCGCCAAUGGACAAUCCGCAUCGAAGCCCCGUGUUCAGUGCAAACUGUAGGGGAACGUUCAGAGACUAGGUGGAAGUCGGUCCUUUAAUAGGGCUUAAGGGUAUAGUCCGAUCCAUUAUCGAAAGAUAGUGCACGCAUAGGCAAUCCAAAAAGGGAGCCUGCGGCUUAAUUUGACUCAACACGGGGAAACUCACCAGGUCCAGACACGACAGGAUUGACAGAUGAUAGCUCUUUCUGAUUUCGUGUUGGGUGGUGCAUGACCGUUCUAGUGUGAGUGAUUUGUCUGGUACUCCGAUACGACGAGACUACUGCUAAUAGCCCGCGACUUGUGUCGCUGCUCUAAGACUAUCGCACAGCGAUGAAGUUGAGCUAUACAGGUCUGUUGAUGCC